rnacentral:rRNA from 1 species
AUUGAACGCUGGCGGCAGGCCUAACACAUGCAAGUCGAACGGUAGCAGGAAGCAGCUUGCUGCUUCGCUGACGAGUGGCGGACGGGUGAGUAAUGUCUGGGAAACUGCCUGAUGGAGGGGGAUAACUACUGGAAACGGUAGCUAAUACCGCAUAACGUCGCAAGACCAAAGAGGGGGACCUUCGGGCCUCUUGCCAUCGGAUGUGCCCAGAUGGGAUUAGCUAGUAGGUGGGGUAACGGCUCACCUAGGCGACGAGCCCUAGCUGGUCUGGGAGGAUGACCCGCCUCACUGGAACUGAGACACGGUCCAGACUCCUACGGGAGGCAGCAGUGGGGAAUAUUGCACAAUGAGCGCAAGCCUGAUGCAGCCAUGCCGCGUGUAUGAAGAAGGCCUUCGGGUUGUAAAGUACUUUCAGCGGGGAGGAAGGCGAUAAGGUUAAUAACCUUGUCGAUUGACGUUACCCGCAGAAGAAGCACCGGCUAACUCCGUGCCAGCCGCCGCAGUAA